GCGAACCGGGGGAACUGAAACAUCUAAGUACCCCGAGGAAAAGAAAUCAACCGAGAUUCCCCCAGUAGCGGCGAGCGAACGGGGAGGAGCCCAGAGCCUGAAUCAGCAUGUGUGUUAGUGGAAGCGUCUGGAAAGGCGCGCGAUACAGGGUGACAGCCCCGUACACAAAAGCGCAUGUGCUGUGAGCUCGAUGAGUAGGGCGGGACACGUGGUAUCCUGUCUGAAUAUGGGGGGACCAUCCUCCAAGGCUAAAUACUCCUGACUGACCGAUAGUGAACCAGUACCGUGAGGGAAAGGCGAAAAGAACCCCGGCGAGGGGAGUGAAAAAGAACCUGAAACCGUGUACGUACAAGCAGUGGGAGCACAGGUUUACCUGUGUGACUGCGUACCUUUUGUAUAAUGGGUCAGCGACUUAUAUUCUGUAGCAAGGUUAACCGCAUAGGGGAGCCGUAGGGAAACCGAGUCUUAACCGGGCGUUAAGUUGCAGGGUAUAGACCCGAAACCCGGUGAUCUAGCCAUGGGCAGGUUGAAGGUUGGGUAACACUAACUGGAGGACCGAACCGACUAAUGUUGAAAAAUUAGCGGAUGACCUGUGGCUGGGGGUGAAAGGCCAAUCAAACCGGGAGAUAGCUGGUUCUCCCCGAAAGCUAUUUAGGUAGCGCCUCGUGAAUUCAUCUCCGGGGGUAGAGCACUGUUUCGGCUAGGGGGCCAUCCCGGCUUACCAACCCGAUGCAAACUGCGAAUACCGGAGAAUGUUAUCACGGGAGACACACGGCGGGUGCUAACGUCCGUCGUGAAGAGGGAAACAACCCAGACCGCCAGCUAAGGUCCCAAAGUCAUGGUUAAGUGGGAAACGAUGUGGGAAGGCCCAGACAGCCAGGAUGUUGGCUUAGAAGCAGCCAUCAUUUAAAGAAAGCGUAAUAGCUCACUGGUCGAGUCGGCCUGCGCGGAAGAUGUAACGGGGCUAAACCAU
rnacentral:rRNA from 1 species